GCCUCCUUAGCUCAGUUGGUUAGAGCAUCUGACUGUUAAUCAGGGGGUCUCAGGUUCAAGUCCUGAAGGGGGCGCAA
rnacentral:tRNA from 1 species